GCGCAUGUGUUACACACAUGAAGAAGUUAGUAAUAAACAAUCCUCAGUUUGUACGACGUUCGGAAGUUUUUUUAAUAUUUCUUGUUCAAAAAAACGUAAAAAGUGACAAAAUCGUAAAUCGAGCCGACGAUAAUCACGAUAGUGUAUCGCAUUUUCACUGCAGCAAUAUGUCGAAGUGUCACGUCCCGCGAUGCCGGAGCAGAAAAAAAUUGAAGAAAGUUCGAUAACUUUCCACCGUUUUCCGACCAACAAAUUGUUGAGACAGAAAUGGUUAAACUUUUUCGGAUACAAAAGCUCGUUCGAUACGUGAAACAUAUUUGUUUGUUCGCUUCAUUUUUCGCCGGGUUCUCUUGGGGAUACUGUUUCAACCUAUAAUCAGCAAAGAAGACGUCUUCGUACUGGAGCUGCUCCAUGCAUUCGCUUCUUGGAUCUUCCAAAACGUUCCGUUUCAAUGGUUUCACAUAAAAUUUCAAAUUUAUACAUUCACUUCUUGCGAAAGUGCAAAAUAUUUGUUUGCAAUCACUUCGGAAGAUGACCCGGGAUGGAGGAAAUGUUUUUCUCGUUUUCCAGAUACGCCAAUUUGGUCUCUUAAGUGCCUUCACUACGGCUGAACACUCCAAACCGAAACCAAUGGAGGCGUCGUGAUGAUUCUUGAUGGAUGAUUCAAUAAAAGAGAAAAAAAAAUCAGCAGUGUGGGAGUUAAUCUUUCAUCAUAUUAUCAAUUUGCGGGAACGACACUGCUUCGAUAUAACCUCUCCACACAUUUGUUCAUCGUUUUUUGUGUUAUUUUUAUAAUACAGAUGCAAUAAUUUCACUGUUUUCAAUUUUAAAAUUAUUAA